rnacentral:tRNA from 1 species
CGUUGGGGCGCAAUGGCUAGCGCGCUUCGUUUGAGACGAAGAGGCCGGUGGUUUAAAUCCUCUCACCCCGACAA